rnacentral:rRNA from 1 species
UACAGAGGUCUCAAGCGUUGUUCGGAUUCAUUGGGCGUAAAGGGUGCGUAGGCGGCGCGGUAAGUCGGGUGUGAAAUCUUGGAGCUUAACUCCGAAACUGCAUUCGAUACUGCCGUGCUUGAGGACUGGAGAGGAGACUGGAAUUUACGGUGUAGCGGUGAAAUGCGUAGAUAUCGCAAGGAAGACCAGUGGCGAAGGCGGGUCUCUGGACAGUUCCUGACGCUGAGGCACGAAGGCCAGGGGAGCAAACGGG